rnacentral:lncRNA from 1 species
AAUUUUAGCUGGAGUUUUUAGAAGAUUAAGUUACAAGGAUGGUGAGUUGAAAACUAGUAUUUACUGAGUCCCUAUCAUGUUCCAGAUCGUCUAUUACAUCCAGUAUGAUAUGUGCUUGCUCAUGUAAUUCUUACAACUGUGGUCUGGCAUGAUAAAGUACUCAGCCUAUGGAGUUAGAUCAAUUGACUUUAAUUUUAGCUCCAUCUUUUAGGAAAAUGGCUUAAACCCCCUAAACCUCAGUUUUCUUAUCAGUGAAAUGGGAAUUAUGGAAUCUAUACAGCAUGGGAUCAUUGGAAGGAUUAAAUAAAUGAAUUAGGUAAACAAAAUAAUGCAUGUAAAUAAUCUAGCGCACCAUUAAGACUCUACAAAAUCCAGGUGUUACGUUAAAAAAAAAAACUCUGUAAAGAAGGUUAUUACUAUUAUUACUGUUCCCUCCAUCCACUCCUUACAUAUGAAUAAAAUGAGAACCACAAAGCCCAUUGACUUGCCUAAGAAUCCACAGUAUGUAAGUGGCAAAGCUGAGGUUUAAACCUAAGAAUUCUUACUCCUCAUCUGUUGCUUGUGCCCUUCCUCUCUUCUCUGCCUGCCAAGCUGGUUGAAGAAAUUCCAACAUUCUCCAGCAGAGAGUGGUGCCUGGGGAAUUCUUCCACAAACACAGGUUUGCAAGCAAACCAGGUGAAACGGAGAAGCUGAGCCUGAGGCAUGGAUAUGACUGAAUAGCCGUGAAAGGAUACUGGAAUGUUAUUUUGCCAGACUUGGGAAUUUCCUGAAAGGAGUUAAAAAUAUCUCUCCUACCCAGAGCACCUUCGGAACGCAUCCUCUGAGAAAGCACGCUGCUGGAGUAGAACCACUAACCAGGCUCUCACCCCCAUCUUCUCUUCCACCCCCCGUCACUGCACCCCUUCGGAUUUGACAACUCUGUAGGAAACCAAUUUGCUGUUAAUCACAAGGGAGUUUUAUUUACUCUGUUGAAAGAAUUGAAAAGCAGUCAUUUUUAUUAGUG